GUUUAUAUAGUUUAAUUUAAAAAUAUUAUAUUUUCAUUAUAAAGAUAAUGAAAAAUUUAUAAAUU
rnacentral:tRNA from 1 species